CGCAAGAGUCCCGGGGGUCCGCCCGCAGCUGGCUAAGCGCUAGCCCGGCCUGUGGCGAGUCUGCAGAGCUCGCCCGGAAGUAGCGUUGCGCGCGCAGAGGAUGGGCGCUGAGCAGCACACAGCCCGCGGCGGGGUCUCAGGAUCCGCGGCGCUGCCCGGGGCCGGGGGAAGGAAGCCAGCCGAGGAGACGCACGUGCCCUGAGUCCGGGAGCGGGGAGCCUCUUCAUCUCUCCAUCCUCCCUCCGCGCGCGCCCUCAGCCGUCCUCGUCCGCUCACCAUGCACCUCCCCUCCAAGAAAGGGCCACAUGCGUGCCAGGGACGCGAGCCCCGGCCACAGGGACAUAGCAGCCUAGAAGUAGCGACUGGGUUUCACCAUGUUGGGAAGGAUGGUCUCGAUCUCUUGACCUCGUGAUCCGCCCACCUCGGCCCCCCAAAGUGCUGGAUUACAGACGUGAGCCACCACACCCUGCCCAGUCUCUUUUUUUCUGGAAGUUUUAAGAUACUCGACGCAUGCCUUUGGCUUUGUUCAGCCAAAAGGGACUAUUAAAUGGAAAAAAGCAGGGAGGCACUACAUUAUGUUUUAAAGCUCACACUGAAGUUAACCUCAAGAACUAGAAAGUACAGAAAACAAGGCUUUCCCUACAUUAAGCAGGAAGAUCAGCAAACACAGGUUCGAAACAGGAAAGCACUGAACACCCGAUGGCUGCCUGAGAGAAACGUCCCAGGACACACUGACCCACGUGACAGCACGUGCCACUCAGACGAGGUGUCAGCAACGGAGACAGAAUGAGGAAACGGAGACCAAGGUGACGUCGGCAGUGGCCGCUGAUGCCUGCUCCAGGUGGGGUGGUGGUGGCCAUGGGCUCUGCGAAUCCCAGGCUCAAUGGCAACACUGAGGUGGGAGGAGGGGAAGGGACACUUGCUGGUGUCUGGCUUUCCUCUUGGGCAUCAGCUUCCAGCCCUUCAGCCUCAGCUCACCAACUUCCAUGGGUGGGCCCUGCUUGACUCCCCCAGCCUGUCAGCGUGUCGCCUCCCCUCUGCCACCCUGGGCUGCUUCACAACUCAGGACCGGAUGUGAGCUAUUAGGGAACCAGGCUUCCUGAUUUCCAGAGGCCAUCAGUGUGGAAGGGUGCAGGCCUGGGAGCCACCUUUGUGAGCAGGCAGGGAGAGCAGGUGGGAGUGUGAAGCCAGCACCGAGGAAGGAAGCAGAGCUGGGAAACGGUGUUAAGGGACAUGCGUGCAUGCGCGCGGUCCACGGCCUAGGCUCUGCCUUUGGGCCCUACCCACCGACUGUGUAUGUGAGCCCCCACAUUUGCAUUUAACAAUUUAACACCAGGCACCUGUCUCCUGCAGUGAUGCAGGCUCGGGACCUCCAGAGCAGCGGGCAGGAUGACGCCCUGAACCUGCACUUCAUCUCCUGGCUGCUUUAUUCUGUCAAUUGACUUCUGUAAUACAAUUUCCAUAUGGUGACACUGCCUUCCAAAACAGUUAGAGCUUAUUCUCAGUAUUCUUCAUUGGCAGU
rnacentral:lncRNA from 1 species